rnacentral:misc_RNA from 1 species
GAUGAAGAACGUAGCGAGAUGCGAUAAGUAAUGUGAAUUGCAGAAUUCAGUGAAUCAUCGAAUCUUUGAACGCACAUUGCGCCCCCUGGUAUUCCGGGGGGCAUGCCUGUUCGAGCGUCAUUACAACCCUCAAGCUCUGCUUGGUAUUGGGCCCCGCCAGUUCUGGCGGGCCCUAAAGUCAGUGGCGGUGCCUUCCGGCUCCGAGCGUAGUAAUUCUUCUCGCUCUGGAGACCCGGUUGUGUGCUUGCCAACAACCCCCAAUUUUUUAAGGUUGACCUCGGAUCAGGUAGGGAUACCCGCUGAACUUAAGCAUAUCAAUAAGCGGAGGA